GACCCCUUAGCUCAGCUGGUAGAGUGUGUGAUUCCAGACUUGGAAAUUCCACAAGGUCAUCCGUUCAAAUCGGGUAGGGGUCA
rnacentral:tRNA from 1 species